ensembl:lncRNA MEG8 maternally expressed 8, small nucleolar RNA host gene
GUUGGGAGCUAAGUUUGCAUCAUGCUUAGAAAGGAGUGUGCAGACCUGUAAUGAUUGCACUUUGCUGAUUGAAGGAUUCCUUCAAGUCCAUGUGCUCCACUUGCACCAUUUUUAGGAUGGAGCCUGGAGACCUAUAAUGAACAACUUGUGCUGUGUUAAGGAUUCCUCCAUGAUCACGCGCCCCAUUUGUACACCAUGCUUGGGAAGGUGCAUGCAGACCAAUAAUGGACGUACUUGUGAUGAUUUAAAGAUGCCUCCAAGGUCACGUGCUCUGUUUGCACCAUGCUUAGGAAGGAGCGUACAGACCAAAAAUGGAUGAAUUGUGCACCUUGAAAAGUUCUUCCAUGGUCACCUGAGGCAUCUGCGUCAUGAUUAGGCUCCGGAUGACUAAUAAUGGACGUACUUGUUCUGAUUUGAGGACUUCUUCAUGGUCACAUGUUCUGUUUGCACCAUGCUUAGGAAGGAGCAUGUGUACCAAUAAUGGAAGCACAGAAGCUGGUUUUAAUAGUUAAGAGCUGUAUGGUCCAUCUCUGUGCUAGAAGCUGGAGACCAAUAACAGUCACUCCCUGCACUGAUUCUGCCAUGACCACUUGCUCUAUGGUUGUUUUAAGGAACCUACAGACAAAUAAUGGAUUAUCAUUGGUGAAGAUCUUAGCUGUUCCAUAGAAGGAACACACUUAUCACUACAGUGAUUCUGUAAUGAUGAAGACCUUUAUGGGAUGGGUAGACCAGAGCUGAUUAAAUUAUUCUCCCAUUGAUGAGGAACUUUACCUUAUCCCUCAGAGUAAGGAGAAUGUCAUAUAAUGUAAGUAAUAAAGUUCUUGAGUUGGGUUGUUGGUUCAUGAUUUCUACUGUCAUUUAAAAAGAUAAUUAAAUUUUAAAAGGUCAUACUAGGCCUAUGAUGAGAAUGUGUUGUGGACCGAAAUUAAUCCAAUUUAGCACAAAUGAAGUGUAAGAAAAAAUUUAGCUUUCCCAUUCAUUUUCAAUAGUUAAAUGUCACAUUGUAUGUUUGUCUCAUUGAUUAUUUAAAGACUCUUCUCUUGAUAAAGGCUGUUACUCAUUUAUGGAGUCAGUAUUCUAGUUGUUGAGUAGGAUGGUGGUUCAAGUUUGUUCAUUUGAUAUCUAAAAGUUGUUCAAAUUAAAUGUAGAGGGGCCAUGUCUGGACCAAUGAUGUGAAUGGAAUGCAUCUGAAUAAAAAUUAUGAUCAAUCAGUUUUUGGAACAACUGAGGUCCACUG